GACGAACGCUGGCGGCGGGCUUAACACAUGCAAGUCGAACGGAAAGGCCCUGCUGGUGUGGGGUGCUCGAGUGGCGAACGGGUGAGUAACACGUGAGUAACCUGCCCUUGACGUUGGGAUAACUUCAGGAAACUGGGGUUAAUACCAAAUAGGAGCUCCUGCUGCAUGGUUGGGGUUGGAAAGGUUCGGACGAUGGGGAUGGACUCGCGGCUUAUCAGCUUGUUGGUGGGGUAGUGGCUUACCAAGGCUUUGAUGGGUGGCCGGCCUGAGAGGGGGACCGGCAAACGUGGGACUGACAUACGGCCGGGAGUAGUGAGGGAGGCAGCAGUGGGGAUUAUUGCACGAUGGAGGGAACCCUGAUGAAGCACCGCCGCGUGAGGGAUGAUGAACUUCGUGUGGUAAACCGUAAUCCUAUGUGCCGAAGCGUGAGUGACGGUACUGGGUAAAGAAGCACCGGCUAACUACGUG
rnacentral:rRNA from 1 species